rnacentral:sRNA from 1 species
UUUCCAGAAACUUGGCUGUGAAAUGGAAAAGAGUUCCAGGGAGGCUCAGGUCAAAAGUGAUUUUAUUUUAUUUUUUAAUUUUUAAUUUUUUUGAGACUAGGUCUAGCUCCUUCCCCAGGCUGGAGUGAAGUGGUGUGAUCACAGCUAACCACAGUCUUGACCUCCUGAGAUCUCAUGGCUCAUUACAGCCUCCACCUCCCUGGCUCAAGCAAUCCUCCCACCUCAGUCUCCUGAGUAGCUGGGAUCACAGGCCUGCGCUACCAUGUCUAGGUAGUUUUUGUAUUUUUUUUGUAGAGACAAGGUUUCACCAUGUUGCUCAGGCAGGUCUCGAACUCCUGAGUUCAGGCCAUCCACCUGCCUCAGCCUCCCAAAGUGCUGGGAUUACAGGCAUGAGCCACCACUCCCCGCCAGUGAUUUCAUUUUUUAAGUUGGAAGAUCUGAGCAUGUUUAAGUGUUUAGUAUCAUGCCCGUUUUACAGAAAAAAAAAGAGGCUCUUAGAAACUACGAUUUUACUCCGAUGCGGAGAUUCUGGAACAAGAUCCAGGACUGGGAUGCGAAGUGAGUGAGUGAGUGAGUGAGUGA